AACGGAAACAACGAAUUCUGCUAUGCAAUUACGCUGUUCGAUGAUAAUAGUUAACGAAAAUGCUGAUGACCUCCUUGCGAUGCAUAUAACGUUAGACCGACGUAAUGGUGCUAUGUAAUAGUUAAACUGGUCUUCGUGAGCUUUAGUAUAGAACCAUAAGCUGUGCAGAAAACACCGCUAAAAUGCCCCGCUUUCACUUCGUCUUCAUACUUCUUGUCGUCGUUCUGACGAUCAACUCUGCUAUACUUCAAGUCUCGUCAGCUCCGAAAUGCGGCCCGAAUGAAUUCUACACUACCUGCGGACCAGCUUGCCCACCCUCUUGCAAUGAGCAUCGCCCUAUCUGCCUGGUGGAAUGCGUAGCCGGCUGCCAGUGUAAGCCAGGAUUCCGGAGAAACGACGCCGGAGCUUGUGUCCGAGUUUGCCCAAAAGAUUAGGUCUGCCUAAUUCACCGACAUUCGAUCCACGAAUGUCACUUUCUGCUUGGACCACACGCCAAAGUGUAACGUCUCGACAUGCGAAUAAAUAAUCGCUGGCAUUUCACAUUCGUUUUAUUCUCGUUCUAUUCUAAUCAAGAUAAUUGCGAGUCUCGUGCCGCGCGAUCGUAGGAAAAGAUCGAGGCGUCGGAUCGGUACGGCUUUUGAAAUUCUAUCGAGUAAUGAAUGCUCUUAUUAAGUCCGAGAAUAGUCUCACGAAACGGGGGAAACUGCGAGGAAAUAUGAUCCCGAUUACUAUCUAUCGUGCGCGUCCGAUCGAUGCCAUUGAUUAACGCAAGUAUGUACUGGCCCGAUGAUGUCCUUCUUACGAUCGAUACAGCAAUGGUAGACUGACGCAACCGCGCAAUGCAUAUAAAAGGCAGCUGGUUUCCGCGUGCUUUAUUGUCGAUCAGACGGUGUCUAGGAAACAGUGCAACGAUGUUCCGUCUUCGGUUCGUUUUCGUUCUACUCGCCGUUCUGGCAGUGUCCUCCACUAGUUCGACAGAGCAGCAACACGAGAAGUGAGGCGCGAACGAGAAGUUCGUAUCCUGCGGAACAGCUUGUCCGCUCCCUUGCAGCAAACCCCAUCCGCAGACCUGCACUAAAAACUGUGUGAUCGGCUGCCAGUGUGAGGCGGGAUAUCUGAGGAAUUCUGCUGGAUCUUGUGUCACCUCACAAAAGUGUUAGAGUUAUUGUCUGCUGUCUACCUAACUUGUCGAUGAUCUGUCCAGCCAUAGUGAUUCUUCGAGCUCUCUGCACGAUCUCUCCUUCAAAGUGUAAUACCGCGACAUGUGAAUAAAUAUAAAUAAAUAAUUUUAA